CUUUCCAGUGAAAGCAAGCCUGCCUCCCUUAGUCAUAUCUCAUAGUCUGUCCUGUGUGUAUGAGGCAGUGACAGAGAGAGACAAAGAGACGAGAAGAGCUAUGACCCCGGUGACAGGACACUCAAGUUUGUCAACAGACAGGAUGACAAUUCUUUGGAUGAUAUUCCUGAAACCUUGAGGGCAGAGAUGUCCUUUGGUUACGCGGCCAUCCCAAAGUCACUGUCCAAAUUGUUUAAAAACCUGAACCAGUUAAAAUGUCCGGGGCCACACUCUGACCAGAGGCUGCAUCUGCUGCAGAACUGUCCAACUGUUGCCUUGCCUCAGGUACAUGGGGUCACUGCCUGCCCCUCCAUGCGUGCCUGUCCCACCUGUGGUGCACUAUUGGAGCAUGACAUGACCGCUUGUAAGAAUUUACUCUGCCCGCGUUGCGAGAAAGAGUUCUGUUUUGUGUGCCUUAAGCUCAAAUCUGAGUGCAUGAAGACCAGCUCACCAUACAAAGCCUGCUCUGCUGGUGUUGCCCCCAGGCAGACCUCCAUACCCACCUGGAGUGGUAAUUGAAGACUUUAUGCAUAUAUAUUUUUCACUUUCCUUCCCAUGAGCCAUCUGAUCCAAUACACUUCUCACAAGAUAUGUUAAGAUAGUAAUACAGUAAUCAACAAAAAUCGAUUCAAGAUAUUUCAGAAAUGUAUUGUUGAGAAUGAUGAAUGAGGUAAUUGUAUAAGUGGCAUAAUAUUAUUUUGUAGUAUCUUUAUUAUCAAAUUGUUACUUUACUUUUAUCAACGUUCUAAAGUCCUACUGCUAAUGUCCAUCUAUGUCCAUCUAAGUCUGUUGGUGUAAUAACAUUUAUAUCUUAUAUUAAAUGAUGUGUUUAUGUCUGA